GUAGCGCAAUGGAUAGCACGUUGAACUUCUAAUCCAAAGGACAUGGGUUCGAAUCCCACCUCA
rnacentral:tRNA from 1 species